rnacentral:rRNA from 1 species
UACAGAGGGAGCGAGCGUUAUCCGGAAUGAUUGGGCGUAAAGCGUCUGUAGGUGGUUUAGAAAGUCUACUGGUCAAAUACCAAGGCUCAACCUUGGGCAGGCAGUAGAGUACUUUUAGACUAGAGUGUGGUAGAGGUAGAGGGAAUCCCUAGCGUAACAGUGAAAUGUGUAGAUUUUAGGGAGAACACCAGCGGCGAAGGCGCUCUA